rnacentral:sRNA from 1 species
CUUCGAUGGAGAAGUGAGCCGGCGUUGC